ACACACAGGCUCAGUUGGUUAGAGCAUGGUGCUGAUAACGCCAAGGUUGCAGGUUUGAUCCCCAUAUGGGACAGCUGUGUAUU
rnacentral:tRNA from 1 species